CCCUUAGAGUUUGAUCCUGGCUCAGAAUCAACGCUGGCGGCGUGCCUCAGACAUGCAAGUCGAACGAUUAAAGCUCUCUUCGGAGAGUGUAUAGAGUGGCGCACGGGUGAGUAACACGUAAGUAAUCUACCCUCGAGUGGGGAAUAACGUCCGGAAACGGACGCUAAUACCGCAUAAUGCAGCGGCACCGCAAGGUGACAGUUGUUAAAGAUUUAUCGCUUGAGGAGGAGCUUGCGGCAGAUUAGCUAGUUGGUAAGGUAAUGGCUUACCAAGGCUACGAUCUGUAACCGGUCUAAGAGGACGGUCGGUCACACUGACACUGAAUAACGGGUCAGACUCCUACGGGAGGCAGCAGUCGGGAAUUUUGGGCAAUGGGCGAAAGCCUGACCCAGCAACGCCGCGUGAAGGAUGAAGUAUUUCGGUAUGUAAACUUCGAAAGAAUGGGAAGAAUCAAUGACGGUACCAUUUAUAAGGUCCGGCUAACUACGUGCCAGCAGCCGCGGUAAUACGUAGGGACCAAGCGUUGUUCGGAUUUACUGGGCGUAAAGGGCGCGUAGGCGGCAAUUCAAGUCAUCUGUGAAAUCUCCGGGCUUAACUCGGAACGGUCAGAUGAUACUGCUUUGCUCGAGUGCGGAAGGGGGCAAUCGGAAUUCUUGGUGUAGCGGUGAAAUGCGUAGAUAUCAAGAGGAACACCUGAGGUGA
rnacentral:rRNA from 1 species